UACGUAGGGCGCGAGCGUUGUCCGGAAUCAUUGGGCGUAAAGAGCUCGUAGGCGGCCGGUUGCGUCUGCUGUGAAAUCCCGGGGCUUAACCCCGGGCGUGCAGUGGAUACGGGCUGGCUAGAGGCAGGCAGGGGAGAACGGAAUUCCCGGUGUAGCGGUGAAAUGCGCAGAUAUCGGGAGGAACACCGGUGGCGAAGGCGGUUCUCUGGGCCUGUACUGACGCUGAGGAGCGAAAGCGUGGGGAGCAAACAGG
rnacentral:rRNA from 1 species